UACGAAGGUCCCAAGCGUUAUCCGGAUUUAUUGGGUUUAAAGGGUGCGUAGGCGGGCUAUUAAGUCAGUGGUGAAAGCCCCCAGCUUAACUUGGGAACUGCCAUUGAUACUGAUGGUCUUGAGUACAUUUGAGGUGGGCGGAAUGUGUCAUGUAGCGGUGAAAUGCUUAGAUAUGACACAGAACACCGAUUGCGAAGGCAGCUCACUAACUGUAACUGACGCUGAGGCACGAAAGCGUGGGGAGCAAACAGG
rnacentral:rRNA from 1 species